GGGAUAUUGAGAUUCCAAACAUAAGAUGGGAAGUAUUUGAGAUGAUGAUGAGAUUCAUAUACACGGGGCUAGUCGAAGUUUCAAGAGAGAUUGCACAAGACCUUCUCAGGGCAGCUGAUCAAUAUCUUUUAGAUGGUCUUAAACGCCUUUGUGAGUAUGCCAUUGCACAGGAUAUAAAAUUGGAAAAUAUCUCCGUCAUGUAUGAAUUGUCAGAGGCCUUCAAUGCAAUGUCUUUGAGACAUACUUGUGUAUUGUACAUUCUUCAACAUUUUGACAAAAUUAUCACAAGACCAGG
rnacentral:misc_RNA from 1 species